rnacentral:rRNA from 1 species
UACGGAGGGGGCUAGCGUUGUUCGGAAUUACUGGGCGUAAAGCGCACGUAGGCGGCUUUGUAAGUUAGAGGUGAAAGCCCAGGGCUUAACCCUGGAAUUGCCUUUAAGACUGCAUCGCUAGAAUCGUGGAGAGGUGAGUGGAAUUCCGAGUAUAGAGGUGAAAUUCGUAGAUAUUCGGAAGAACACCAGUGGCGAAGGCGACUCACUGGACACGUAUUGACGCUGAGGUGCGAAAGCGUGGGGAGCAAACAGG